GACGAACGCUGGCGGCGUGCUUAACACAUGCAAGUCGAACGGAAAGUCCCUGCUUUUGUGGGGUGCUCGAGUUGCGAACGGGUGAGUAACACGUGAGUAACCUGCCCUUGCCUUUGGGAUAACUUCAUGCAACUUGGUCUAAUACCGGAUAGGAGCUCCUGCUUCUUGGUGGGGGUUGGAAAGUUUCGGAGGUUGGGGAUGGACUCGCGGCUGAUCAGCUUGUUGGAGGGGUAGUGGCUUACCAAGGCCUUGACGGGUAGCCGGCCUGAGAGGGUGACCGGCAACAUUGGGACUGAGAUACGGCCCAGACUCCUACGGGAGGCAGAAGUAGGGAAGAUUAAACAAGGGGCGGAAGCCUGAUGCUGAAACGCCGCGGGCGGGAGAACGGCCUUCGGGUUGGAAACCGAAUUCGCCUGUGACGAAGAGGAAGAGAAGAUAAUGGGUAAAGAAGCACCGGGUAAAUACGUU
rnacentral:rRNA from 1 species